UACAGAGGUCUCAAGCGUUGUUCGGAUUCAUUGGGCGUAAAGGGUGCGUAGGCGGCGCGGUAAGUCGGGUGUGAAAUCUCGGAGCUUAACUCCGAAACUGCAUUCGAUACUGCCGUGCUUGAGGACUGGAGAGGAGACUGGAAUUUACGGUGUAGCGGUGAAAUGCGCAGAUAUCAGGAGGAACACCAAUGGCGAAGGCAGCUCGCUGGAACGGUACUGACGCUGAGGCGCGAAAGCGUGGGGAGCGAACAGG
rnacentral:rRNA from 1 species